rnacentral:rRNA from 1 species
ACUCCUACGGGAGGCAGCAGUGGGGAAUAUUGCACAAUGGGCGCAAGCCUGAUGCAGCCAUGCCGCGUGUGUGAAGAAGGCCUUCGGGUUGUAAAGCACUUUCAGUCGUGAGGAAGGUAGUGUAGUUAAUAGCUGCAUUAUUUGACGUUAGCGACAGAAGAAGCACCGGCUAACUCCGUGCCAGCAGCCGCGGUAAUACGGAGGGUGCGAGCGUUAAUCGGAAUUACUGGGCGUAAAGCGCAUGCAGGUGGUUUGUUAAGUCAGAUGUGAAAGCCCGGGGCUCAACCUCGGAAUAGCAUUUGAAACUGGCAGACUAGAGUACUGUAGAGGGGGGUAGAAUUUCAGGUGUAGCGGUGAAAUGCGUAGAGAUACUGAAGGAAUACCGGUGGCGAAGGCGGCCCCCUGGACAGAUACUGACACUCAGAUGCGAAAGCGUGGGGAGCAAACAGGAUUAGAUACCCUGGUAGGAUAGCG